rnacentral:snoRNA from 1 species
UCCUAGUAUCUCCCUCUAAUUCAUUCAUGUCUUAGCGGGUCGUAAAGGUUGCUAAAUAAAUUUGAAUUCUUUUUUUAAAUAAUUACUUUACACUAAAUUUGUAUGGUAAAUAUUUAAGAAUUCUACAAUU